ensembl:snRNA U6 U6 spliceosomal RNA
AUACUCGCUUCGGCAGCACAUGUAAUAAAAUCGGAACGAUACAGAGAAGAUUAGCAUGGCCCCUGCACAAGGAUGACACACAAAUUAGGGAACUGUUCCAUAUUUUG